rnacentral:rRNA from 1 species
UACGUAGGGGGGCAAGCGUUUGUCCGGAUUUAUUGGGCGUAAAGAGCGUGUAGGCGGCUAGAUAGGUCCGUUGUGAAAACUCGAGGCUCAACCUCGAGACGUCGAUGGAAACCAUCUGGCUAGAGUCCGGAAGAGGAGAGUGGAAUUCCUGGUGUAGCGGUGAAAUGCGCAGAUAUCAGGAAGAACACCCGUGGCGAAGGCGGCUCUCUGGUACGUGACUGACGCUGAGACGCGAAAGCGUGGGGAGCAAACAGG